GGAUACCCGAUAAAGCGAGCUAUAAUAGAUCUAUCCUCUAAUUUAUCCAUCAUCUAUCUCGACAUAGGCUGGACAUCUCGAAGUCUUAAGAUAACCUAGACUUGGCUUCUUAUCGAACCAUAUCUCAUAUGGUGUAGUAGGAACGGACUUUGAUGGAACCCUAUUCAACAGAUCAAUUACGAUUAACAAGACACUCUCCAAAUACGGCAUCCAUUAAGAGACUAUGCUAUUAUCCUUAAGAUAUCCCAAAAAUUCUUGACUAAGGUAUUCACCUCCUCGA
rnacentral:lncRNA from 1 species